rnacentral:rRNA from 1 species
UAUAAAGUUUUAUUUUGGCUUAUAAAUUCAUUAUUAGUUUAAUUUAUAUGUAAAUUUUAGUAAGAAAUUUUAUUAAUUUUAAUAAUUAAUAAAUUUUAUUAAAUUCGCAGUAAUUAGUAUUAUUAAUUAAAGAAAUUUAGAAAUAGUAAUAUUAAAAUGUAUUGACUAAAUUUGUGCCAGCAGUCGCGGUUAUACGAAUAAUGCAAAUGAAUUUUUAUUAGUUUAAGUUAAAUUAUUUUAUUAUUAAAUAAAAUUAAAUUAAUUAAGUGAAAUUUUUAAUUUAUAAUAUUUAUUUUUAUAUUAAUUGAAGCUUGAAAAUUUUAAUUAUA